rnacentral:rRNA from 1 species
AUACGUAGGGGGCAAGCGUUGUCCGGAAUUAUUGGGCGUAAAGGGCGCGCAGGCGGCCUGUUAAGUCUGGUGUGAAAGACCACGGCUCAACCGUGGGGUUGCAUCAGAAACUGGCGGGCUUGAGUGCAGGAGAGGAGAGUGGAAUUCCCGGUGUAGCGGUGGAAUGCGUAGAGAUCGGGAGGAACACCAGUGGCGAAGGCGGCUCUCUGGCCUGCAACUGACGCUGAGGCGCGAAAGCGUGGGUAGCGAACAGGAUUAGAUACCCUGGUAGUCCACGCCGUAAACGAUGAGUGCUAGGUGUUGGGGGUUUCCGCCCUCUGUGCCGAAGGUAACCCAAUAAGCACUCCGCCUGGGGAGUACGGCCGCAAGGCUGAA